UACGUAGGGUGCGAGCGUUGUCCGGAAUUAUUGGGCGUAAAGGGCUCGUAGGCGGUUUGUUGCGUCGGAAGUGAAAACUCAGGGCUUAACCCUGAGCCUGCUUCCGAUACGGGCAGACUAGAGGUAUGCAGGGGGAGAACGGAAUUCCUGGUGUAGCGGUGAAAUGCGCAGAUAUCAGGAGGAACACCGGUGGCGAAGGCGGUUCUCUGGGCAUUACCUGACGCUGAGGAGCGAAAGUGUGGGGAGCGAACAGG
rnacentral:rRNA from 1 species